CGGGGUGAGUAACACGUGGAUAACCUACCUAUAAGACUGGGAUAACUUCGGGAAACCGGAGCUAAUACCGGAUAAUAUUUUGAACCGCAUGGUUCAAAAGUGAAAGACGGUCUUGCUGUCACUUAUAGAUGGAUCCGCGCUGCAUUAGCUAGUUGGUAAGGUAACGGCUUACCAAGGCAACGAUGCAUAGCCGACCUGAGAGGGUGAUCGGCCACACUGGAACUGAGACACGGUCCAGACUCCUACGGGAGGCAGCAGCC
rnacentral:rRNA from 1 species